rnacentral:rRNA from 1 species
GGGUUGUGAGGUUAAGCGACUAAGCGUACACGGUGGAUGCCUAGGCAGUCAGAGGCGAUGAAGGGCGUGCUAAUCUGCGAAAAGCGUCGGUAAGCUGAUAUGAAGCGUUAUAACCGACGAUACCCGAAUGGGGAAACCCAGUGCAAUACGUUGCACUAUCGUUAGAUGAAUACAUAGUCUAACGAGGCGAACCGGGGGGAACUGAAACAUCUAAGUACCCCGAGGAAAAGAAAUCAACCGAGAUUCCCCCCAGUAGCGGCGAGCGAACGGGGAGGAGCCCAGAGUCUGAAUCAGUUUGUGUGUUAGUGGAAGCGUCUGGAAAGUCGCACGGUACAGGGUGAUAGUCCCGUACACCAAAAUGCACAGGCUGUGAACUCGAUGAGUAGGGCGGGACACGUGACAUCCUGUCUGAAUAUGGGGGGACCAUCCUCCAAGGCUAAAUACUCCUGACUGACCGAUAGUGAACCAGUACCGUGAGGGAAAGGCGAAAAGAACCCCGGCGAGGGGAGUGAAAUAGAACCUGAAACCGUGUACGUACAAGCAGUGGGAGCACCUUCGUGGUGUGACUGCGUACCUUUUGUAUAAUGGGUCAGCGACUUAUAUUUUGUAGCAAGGUUAACCGAAUAGGGGAGCCGUAGGGAAACCGAGUCUUAACUGGGCGUCUAGUUGCAAGGUAUAGACCCGAAACCCGGUGAUCUAGCCAUGGGCAGGUUGAAGGUUGGGUAACACUAACUGGAGGACCGAACCGACUAAUGUUGAAAAAUUAGCGGAUGACUUGUGGCUGGGGGGUGAAAGGCCAAUCAAACCGGGAGAUAGCUGGUUCUCCCCGAAAGCUAUUUAGGUAGCGCCUCGUGAACUCAUCUUCGGGGGGUAGAGCACUGUUUCGGCUAGGGGGCCAUCCCGGCUUACCAAACCGAUGCAAACUCCGAAUACCGAAGAAUGUUAUCACGGGAGACACACGGCGGGUGCUAACGUCCGUCGUGAAGAGGGAAACAACCCAGACCGCCAGCUAAGGUCCCAAAGUCAUGGUUAAGUGGGAAACGAUGUGGGAAGGCACAGACAGCCAGGAUGUUGGCUUAGAAGCAGCCAUCAUUUAAAGAAAGCGUAAUAGCUCACUGGUCGAGUCGGCCUGCGCGGAAGAUGUAACGGGGCUAAACCAUGCACCGAAGCUGCGGCAGCGACACUUAGGUGUUGUUGGGUAGGGGAGCGUUCUGUAAGCCGUUGAAGGUGACCUGUGAGGGUUGCUGGAGGUAUCAGAAGUGCGAAUGCUGACAUAAGUAACGAUAAUGCGGGUGAAAAA